rnacentral:lncRNA from 1 species
GAAAUGAAAUGCUUUUAUCAUGCUUCAUGCAUCAUGAUCAUAUUAUAGGUUGUUUGCAUUAGAAUUCACGACUAUGCCGCAUUGUAUUGUUGUGAUAGAUGAUAGUGGAUGGACAUUAGGAUGAUUCAUUAGCCUUCUGAAUACGAAGUCCUGUGGUGCCCAUAAUAGGGCCGGGCAAUACAAAGUCCUGUGGUGCCCAUAAUAGGGCCGGGCAAUAACUCCGAGUACGAAGUCCUGUGGUG